rnacentral:SRP_RNA from 2 species
GCCGGGCGUGGUGGCGGGCGCCUGUAAUCCCAGCUACUUGGGAGGCUGAGGCAGGAGAAUUGCUUGAACCCAGGAGGCGGAGGUUGCAGCGAGCCGAGAUCGUGCCACUGCACUCCAGCCUGGGGUACAGAGCGAGACUCCGUCUCAA